rnacentral:RNase_P_RNA from 1 species
AUAACAGGACGGAUUGCCGCUGCAGACAUUUUGUCUGUAGAGGAAAGUCCGGGCUCCAUAGAGAAUGAUGCCGGGUAACGCCCGGGCGGUUGUAAAACCGACAGAAAGUGCCGCAGAAAAUAUACCGCCUCUUCGGAGGUAAGGGUGAAAUGGCGGGGUAAGAGCCCACCGCUCCUCCCGUAAGGGAGGGGGCAUGGUAAACCUCAUCAGGAGCAAGAUCAAGCAGCAGAUGAAUUUCUCGUUCUUAAGUCUGCGGGUGGAUCGCUGGAAUCGCUUUCUGCAAAGGAAGUGUCAGAUAGAUGGCAAUCGAUUACAGAACCCGGCUUACAGUCCUGUUAUUUUU